UACAGAGGUCUCAACCGUUGUUCGGAUUCAUUGGGCGUAAAGGGUGCGUAGGCGGUCGCGCAAGUCGGAUGUGAAAUCUCAGGGCUCAACCCUGAAACUGCAUUCGAUACUGCGUGGCUAGAGUGCUGGAGGGGAGACUGGAAUUUACGGUGUAGCAGUGAAAUGCGUAGAUAUCAAGAGGAACACCAGUGGCGAAGGCGAGUCCCUGGACAACACCUGACACUGAGGCACGAAAGCUAGGGGAGCAAACAGG
rnacentral:rRNA from 1 species